AUGGAGGGUGUUACAGUGUUGAUUGUUGGUGCUGGGCCAGCAGGCCUCGCAACGGCAGCAUGCCUUAGCCAAUUCUCAAUUCCUUAUGCCAUCGUCGAGCGCGAGAGCUGUAGCGCAUCACUCUGGCGCAACCGCGCGUAUGAUCCCCUCAAGAUGCAUCUCGCAAAAAAGUUCUGUGAGUUGCCACACAUGUCAUACCCUGUAGAUGCACCAACAUACAUACCAAAAACCUUGUUUGUGAAGUACUUGGAUGACUAUGUUGAGCGUUUCAACAUUCAACCAAAGUAUCUCACCAGCGUGGAGUCAUCCACAUAUGACAAUGAUGAAAAAUGUUGGUCCAUUGUGGCAAAGGACAUGUCAAAGUGCACCACAGUCAAGUUCAUGGCGAAGUUUCUUGUUGUGGCAAGUGGUGAGAAUAGUGCAGAGAAUAUUCCAAUGUUCCCUGGACUGGAAAACUUUCCAGGUGAUGUUAUCCACUCCUCAAGCUACAAGUCAGGCAAGAGCUACUCUGGCAAGAAUGUAUUGGUCAUUGGAUCUGGCAACUCCGGGAUGGAAAUUGCUUAUGACCUUGUGACCCAUGGUGCCAACACAUCGAUUGUUAUACGAAGCCCGAUUCAUGUAAUGACAAAGGAAUUAAUUCGUUUGGGGAUGACACUUGCUCACCGUCUUCCAUUGAAUCUAGUGGAUAAACUCCUUGUGAUGGCAGCGUAUUUAAUAUUUGGAGACCUGUCACAGCAUGGCAUCACAAGGCCAAAAAUGGGUCCAAUGACCCUCAAAUCAGAAACAGGUCGAUCUGCAGUAAUUGAUGUUGGGACUGUUGGAUUGAUCAAAAAAGGCAUCAUCAAAGUCUAUGUGUUUUUAAUCCAGGAUGGUGUG
rnacentral:rRNA from 1 species